rnacentral:rRNA from 1 species
CGCGUGAGGAACCUGCCUUUCAGAGGGGGACAACAGUUGGAAACGACUGCUAAUACCGCAUAACACAUAGGUGUCGCAUGGCAUUUAUGUCAAAGAUUUAUCGCUGAAAGAUGGCCUCGCGUCUGAUUAGCUAGUUGGUGAGGUAACGGCUCACCAAGGCGACGAUCAGUAGCCGGACUGAGAGGUUGGCCGGCCACAUUGGGACUGAGAUACGGCCCAGACUCCUACGGGAGGCAGCAG